rnacentral:tRNA from 1 species
CCCAUGCUACAUAUAGCUCACUUAG